rnacentral:rRNA from 1 species
AUGUCCAUGCUUCUUCUUCCUCCCAGCAGCAGCAGAAGCAUGGCGCCUCCUCCGGCCCUCCGCUCCCCGCGCGCGCCUAUCUCUCCACGGACGGAAUCACCCAGACGACAUGCCAUAGCACGGUGUGACACUUCACGGACCACGCCAAGAAUAUCUGAAACUGAACCUACGCUUGCUCAACCUUCAGCACCUGUCCAAGGUGCUACCGCCCCUCUGGUUCAGGCACUGAAAUCAACUGCAGCCCAAGACGUGUCCUGUUUUCACUUCCCUGGACACAACCAAGGGAAAGCUGCUCCUUCUUCGAUGUUGGACCUUAUUGGCGCGGGCGCGUUUUCACAUGACUUGCCCGAGCUACCCGAACUCGACGACCUCUUCUACCCUAAUGGUGUGAUUUUGGAUGCUCAGAACCAGGCAGCUCAACUCUUUGGGUCAUCUAAAACAUGGUUCCUGGUCAAUGGGAGUACCUGCGGAAUCCAGGCCGCGGUGAUGGCCACCUGCUGCCCUGGUGACUACAUUGUUGUGCCUCGAAACUGUCACAUCUCAGUGAUCUCUGCCCUGGUUCUGUCCGGUGCUGUGCCUAAGUAUAUAGUACCAGAGUACAAUUCUGCAUGGGACAUUGCUGGUGGUAUUACGCCGUCACAGGUGGAUAAAGCACUGAAGGAGCUUGAGAAGGAUGACAAGAAAGUAGGUGCUGUUCUUGUUACUUCGCCGACCUACCAUGGCAUAUGCAGCGAUGUGCAAUGUAUCGUCGAUGUUUGCCAUCCUUUACACAUUCCGGUUAUAGUUGAUGAGGCUCAUGGUGCGCACUUCAGGUUCCAUCACAGUUUUCCAAGCACGGCGAUAGAGCAAGGUGCUGACUUAGCUGUGCAAUCCACGCACAAGGUUCUGAACUCUCUUACACAGUCCUCGAUGCUUCACAUGGCUGGAGGUCUGGUUGAUGCAGAUAAAGUGAGCCAAUGCCUCCAGUUGCUCCAGAGCUCAAGCCCAAGUUACCUCCUACUGUCAUCAUUAGAUGCUGCAAGAGCUCAGUUGAGCGAGAACGCUAAAUCUUUUGAUGAACCGGUGGCUAUGGCUUUAGAAACAAGAGAUCAGCUGAUGGUAAUCCCGGGGUUAUCUGUCCUGGACUUGUCAUGCUUUGCUUCUGACUUCCCUGCCAUUGAUCCUUUGCGUGUCACACUAAGUGCUUCAGAUCUACAUUUAUCUGGAUACGAGGCAGAUGACAUUUUGGAAGAGCAUCAAAUUGUAUGUGAGCUUGUCGGAACACAGGCGGUGACGUUUGCAGUCAACUUAGGGACCAGAAGGCAAGAUGUUCAAAAACUUGUACAGUGUGCAAAGCAUCUCUCAGAUAAAUACAUAUCUGCAAACGAAUCGAGAUUUAGUAAGCAUAACUAUGUUUGUAGCCCAUUGGAUAAGUUCUUUGUCAAGCUGCCUCCAAGAGAGGCCUUCUUUACAAAGAAAAGAAGAGUGUGCAUGGAGGACAGCCUUGGGGAGAUUUGUGGUGAGCUUAUCUGCCCGUAUCCACCAGGUAUCCCUGUGCUGAUACCCGGUGAGGUCGUAACUCAGGAUUCGCUGUCUUACUUAAUAAACGUCAGAGACCAGGGCAUGACAAUCAGUGGAGCAGCUGAUGGUGAACUCAACUCAAUCAUGGUAUGCAACUUGUGA